UGAGGCACUUCGCAGCCCUUCCUGGGAAUCAUCCAAAAUGAGGUGAUUCCAGCCAGUUUAAGUCUCAACAUUUGAAGAAGGAAAAGAAAUGUUAUUUAAAAUAAUGGGGGAUUACAGCUGCUUGUCUUCAAGGGGACAUGGCAUGAUCCAUCUCCCCAUAGGUGGUUUUUCUGUACAGCUACCAAUUUGGUGGAUCUUGAUGGAGCUUUUAGGAUGUGAGAAGUUAAAGCCACUGAGUUAGUCUAAAUGGGUGUUGAUGGCAGUGACUGCUGCUGAUACGGAAGGGAAGUGCUGGGAAGGGAAGAGUGUGGUCCCUUUAAAUGAUACAGAAGAGGGGAAAGGAAGUGCUGGCUAGAGGAGGGCAUGGUCCCUGGCUAGGGCUCCACCUCUGGGCCUGUGCCCAUGGACCUAGUUGAGGACAGGAAUUUUUGUUUUCCUGCCCAAAUGUUGCAUUUCCCAAGACCACCCUGGCCUACCAUGACCCCAUCCUGUGCCUAUAAAAACCCCCGAGAGCCUAGCGGGGAGACACACAGGCAGCUGAAGUCAAGAGGAGCACAUCAGCGGAGGAACACACGGGCAGCUGGAUGUUGAAAGGAACACACUGACAGGCACCAGCAUCCCAGCAGGCCACCAACUGGCAGAAUGACGGCAGAGUUUGCCUGGGGAAGUUGGAGGAGAGCUCUGGGGAAAACCAUCCCCGGAGAGACUCCAGGGGACAAUCCAUCUCCCUUAUGGCUCCUCCAUCUGCUCAGAGCUCUUCCUCCAGUGACACUUCUCAGUGAAACCCAAGUGAUUCUCCAAGCCCAUGUGUGAUCCAAUUCUUCCGGUACACAAAGGCAAGAACCCCAGGAUACAGAAAGCCCUCUGUCCAUGUGAUAAGGCAGGGGUCUAACUGAGCUGACUAACACAGCCACCUAUGGACCCUAACAGAGUCUACUGUAACACAUGCCCACUGGGGUUUCAGUUGUGAACACUCAAGCCCUAGACGUUGUCGUGGAGUCAGAGCCCCACAGCCUGCCCGUCUGUAUGCUCCCCUAGAGGCUGGAGCAGCAAGGCACUGAAGAAGCGAGUCAUAUCCCAUCAUAUGCCCUGCGAGGAGGACAAGGAAACUUCCCAUUACAACUGGGGAUCGUCUGGGAUCGCAGAAGAAUGUGCAACCAGUUCUCUUCACCAUCCCCAGCUUAUACUCCUCUAAAGUGUAUCCUGAACAAUUGGGACUGCUUUGAUCCUCAGAAUCUGGAGGAAAAUGGCCUCAUAGCCCUCUGCACAAAGGUUUGGCCAAAUUAUGAUUUACAGGAAGGACUGGCUUGGGCUCAGGAAGGAACCAUUCACUACAAUGGCAUUCAACAAUUAGAACUCUUCUGUAGAUGUGAGGAUAGACAGUUCUGAGGCCGAUAUGUACAGGUUUCUAUACCUUGCAAGGCAAUACAGACCUUUGCCAACAAUGUAGGAUUGAUCUAGCCCUCCUGUUUGCCAUCUCAGGAAAGGCUGAAAGGGGCAAGCCCAGGGAAUUAAUUAAAGAUACUAGUCCCAGAGGCACUCCCAGCAGAGGAGCCAGCUCCCUCAAGCCCUGCUCCUCCGGGUCCACCCCAACCUCCCUAUCCAGCCUCAGCCUCUCACUUGCCCCCUCAUAGAAAUCCCAAAUUAUGAUUUACAGGAAGGACUGGCUUGGCCUCAGGAAGGAACCAUUCAUUACAAUACCAUCCAGCAAUUGAAACAUUUCUAUAGAUGUGAGGAUAGACGGUUCUGAGGCCCAUGUGAGCAGGCUGUCUAUACCUUGCAAGGCAAUCCAGGCCUUUGGCCAACAAUAUAGGAUUGAUCCAGACCUCCUGCUUGCCAUCUCAGGAAAGGCUGCAAGGGGCAAGCCCAGGCAAUUAAAGAUACAAGUCCCAGAGGCACUCCCAGCAAAGGAGCCAGCUCCCUCAAGUCCUGCUCCUCUGGGUCCACCCCGACCUCCCUAUCCAGCUUCAGCCUCUCACUUGCCCCCUCCAAGAAAUCCUCACCCUAAACAAGCCCCAGUCUCACUCUUGCCCCUACAACAGAUGCCCAGUGAAUUUAGGCCCAGUGAUGUCCAGGUCCCCUUCUCCCUACAGGACUUAAAGCAAAUUAAGGGGGAUCUUGGCAAGUUUUCAGGUGACUCUGAUAGAUAUACAGAGGCUUUAAUGGCCACCAUGCAAGCCCACAAACCCCAGAAUUCCAGGGGGCACCUGUUGACUGCUAAAGAUAUGGCAAGAACAGAUAUCUCUCUUCUAAAGUUUAUCUGCUCCAACACAAGGUUUAAUUUCCUUCACCAGGGUGAAACAGCCUGGGGCACAAUGUUGUUGUUAUCUCUGUAAUCUUUGGCACUAAAUUCUUUCCUUGUAUAAUACACAUGUUGAACCCACGCAUACUUAACCUUAUGAAACUUUUUCUUCCUCUCACUCCUAGAAUCCAUUGGCUCCCUUUGCUUGGAACCCUUAGAUAGACCUCUGGGAGGAAUCUGACUGCCGUUCUCCCCAAAAACAAAUGCCCCCUGUCUGUGGGAAGCACUUAGGACUAAUCAUCAUCCGUAUUCUAAUGGCAAUUAGGUGUACCUCUUCAGAGGGUAGAAAUGAUCCAGAAGGGAACUGCUGGAAAUGGAAGAGCAUGGUCCCUUUAAAUGAUAUCGAAGUGGGGGAAGAGAAGUGCUGGGUAGAAAAGGGCAUGGUCUGUGGCUAGAGUUCCAUCCCCGGACCUGUGCCUAUGGAUCUAAGUGUGGACAGGAAUUUUUGUUUUCCUGCCCUAUGGUUGCAUUACCCAAGACCAACCUGGCCUACCAUGCCCCUAUCCUGUGUCUAUAAAAACCCCUGAGACCCUAGCUACUUCCACUCAAUAAAACCUGGCACUCAUUCUCCAAGACCCUAGCAGAUAGACACACAGGUGCUGGACAUAAGGAAGAGCACCACCAGUGAAGAAAGACAUGCACACGGGUAUCGGGACAUUGAGAGGCGCACACCGACAGGCACCAGCGUGCUGGCAGGCCACCAACCAGCGGAACAAUGCGGAGUUUGGCUGGGGCAGUUGGAGGAGAGCUAGGGCCACCAACUGGCCCAACUCCAGGGAAAAAUCAUCUCCCUUCUGGCUCCCCCAUCUGCUGAGAGCUACUUCCACUUAAUAAAACCUUGCACUCCUUCUCCAAGCC
rnacentral:lncRNA from 1 species